UACAGAGGGUGCGAGCGUUAAUCGAAAUUACUGGGCGUAAAGGGCGCGUAGGCGGUUUAGUGAGUGGGAUGUGAAAGCCCUGGGCUUAACCUAGGAAGCGCAUACCAAACGACUAAACUGGAGUAGGGCAGAGGGUGGCGGAAUUUCCGGUGUAGCGGUGAAAUGCGUAGAGAUCGGAAGGAACGUCAAUGGCGAAGGCAGCCACCUGGGCUCAUACUGACGCUGAGGCGCGAAAGCGUGGGGAGCGAACAGG
rnacentral:rRNA from 1 species